rnacentral:rRNA from 1 species
UACGGAGGGUGCGAGCGUUGUCCGGAAUCACUGGGCGUAAAGGGCGCGUAGGCGGCCUGGUAAGUAGGGGGUGAAAUCCUGCGGCUUAACCGCAGGGCUGCCUUCUAAACUGUCAGGCUGGAGCACAGUAGAGGCAGGUGGAAUUCCCGGUGUAGCGGUGGAAUGCGUAGAGAUCGGGAAGAACAUCAGUGGCGGAAGGCGGCCUGCUGGGCUGUUGCUGACGGCUGAG